rnacentral:piRNA from 1 species
UGUGCUGGAACUCGAGUGAACACUUGGC